AGAAGUAAAAGUCGUAACAAGGUUUCCGUAGGUGAACCUGCGGAAGGAUCAUUAUUGUAUAACCGAGGUGCGAGGGCUGUCGCUGACCCGAAAGGUCGUGCACGCCCGAGUGCUCUCACACACAUCCAUCUCACCCCUAUGUGCACCACCGCGUGGGUCCCCCUUUGGCUUGUUCGGAGGGGGGCUUACGUUUUCACACAAACUUUGUAUGCAGUGUAGAAUGUAUUUUUUGUUUUUGCGAUCACGCAAUCAAUACAACUUUCAACAACGGAUCUCUUGGCUCUC
rnacentral:misc_RNA from 1 species